rnacentral:rRNA from 1 species
AGAGUUUGAUCCUGGCUCAGGAUAAACGCUGGCGGCGCACAUAAGACAUGCAAGUCGAACGGAAGUCGUUAUAAAAUGAAUUGAAGAUUUAUCUGAUUGAAAUUUUAUAACAAUGGCUUUAGUGGCGGACUGGUGAGUAACGCGUGAGCAACCUGCCUAUUAGAGGGGAAUAACAGUGAGAAAUCAUUGCUAAUACCGCAUAUGCCAUAAUUAUCACAUGAUAAUAGUGGGAAAGGAGUAAUCCGCUAAUAGAUGGGCUCGCGUCUGAUUAGAUAGUUGGUGGGGUAACGGCCUACCAAGUCAACGAUCAGUAGCCGGACUGAGAGGUUGAACGGCCACAUUGGGACUGAGAUACGGCCCAGACUCCUACGGGAGGCAGCAGUCGGGAAUAUUGCGCAAUGGAGGAAACUCUGACGCAGUGACGCCGCGUAUAGGAAGAAGGUCUUCGGAUUGUAAACUAUUGUCGUUAGGGAAGAAAAAGGACAGUACCUAAGGAGGAAGCUCCGGCUAACUACGUGCCAGCAGCCGCGGU